rnacentral:rRNA from 1 species
AGCGAACGCUGGCGGCAGGCUUAACACAUGCAAGUCGAACGCCCCGCAAGGGGAGUGGCAGACGGGUGAGUAACACGCGGGAACGUACCCUUUGGUUCGGAAUAAAUUGGGGAAACUCAAGCUAAUACCGGAUAAGCCCUUAUGGGGAAAGGUUUACUGCCGAAGGAUCGGCCCGCGUCUGAUUAGCUAGUUGGUGAGGUAAUGUCUCACCAAGGCGACGAUCAGUAGCUGGUCUGAGAGGAUGAUCAGCCACACUGGGACUGAGACACGGCCCAGACUCCUACGGGAGGCAGCAGUGGGGAAUAUUGGACAAUGGUGGCAACCCUGAUCCAGCCAUGCCGCGUGAGUGAUGAAGGCCUUAGGGUUGUAAAGCUCUUUUACCCAGGACGAUAAUGACUGUACCGGGAGAAUAAGCCCCGGCUAACUACGUGCCAGCCGCCGCAGUAA